CGUGUAGGCGGCCUCUUAAGUCUGAUGUGAAAGCCCGGGGCUUACCCCCGGAAGGGCAUUGGAAACUGGGAAGCUAGAGUACCGGAGAGGAAGGUGGAAUUCCUGGUGUAGCGGUGAAAUGCGUAGAUAUCAGGAGGAACACCGGUGGCGAAGGCGGCCUUCUGGACGGAUACUGACGCUGAGACGCGAAAGCGUGGGGAGCAAACAGGAUUAGAUACCCUGGUAGUCCACGCCGUAAACGAUGGGCACUAGGUGUUCGGGGUAUUGACCCCCUGAGUGCCGCAGCUAACGCAUUAAGUGCCCCGCCUGGGGACUACGGCCGCAAGGUUAAA
rnacentral:rRNA from 1 species